CCGGUUUUGUAAAUUUUCUGUGAAAUCGUUGUGCUCAACAUAACGGCGUGCAGAAAAGACUGCAAGACUAGGGACCGGGAGGAGUCAGAGGUAUUUCGGGGGAGCGGUAAAAUGCUAUAAUCCCUGAAGGACCGCCUGUGGCGAAAGCGUCUGACUAGAACGGCUCCGACGGUGAGGGACGAAAGCUAGGGGAGCAAUCCGGAUUAGAUACCCGAGUAGUCCUAGCUGUAAACUCUGCGAGUUAGGUGUUGCACAAUCUUCGGGAUUGUGCAGUGUCGUAGCGAAGGUGUUAAACUCGCCGCCUGGGGAGUACGGUCGCAAGGCUGAAACUUAAAUGAAUUGGCGGGGGAGCACUACAAGGGGUGCGGCGUGCGGUUUAAUCUAAUUCAACACAGAGAAUCUCACUAGAAGCGACGGCAGGAUGAAGGUCAGUCUGAAGGGCUUACCUGACGAGCCGAGAGGUAGUGCAUGGCC
rnacentral:rRNA from 1 species